UUCCUUUCAAUUUUAACUGCUUCCAAAGACAACAUUGUAACCAAAUCCCUAUUAUGGGAUAUUUCAUCUUCCCAUUCAAAAUAACCUCAAGAACUAAACUGCGGAAGACAAAGCAAAGAAGAACAGAAAGGCUUUAAGUAGACCAAAAAUCAAAACAAACUGAUAAAAAGCCAACUUUUGUGAUAGAAUUAGAAUUACACAUACCUUAGACUUCGGAUAUUUAUAGAAUCUCCUCCCGGUGCUAAAUGUAGUCAUUGAAGUCAAGUGGUUAGCAAUAAUUCCACAUCGACACCUGAUCUGGGAGGAAUAGCUACCUUGCGACAUUGAUG
rnacentral:lncRNA from 1 species